rnacentral:rRNA from 1 species
GAAUUGUGAUCUCAGACAAAAGGCUUUCUUUUGUAUAUAUCGGGGGAUCGUGAAGAUUUUAUCGGUGAGAAUUUGCUCUCGGAAGGGCAAUGAUGAAUAUUGAAUAAUCGGACAUAGUACGAUAAGGUUGUAUGUCCAAAGGGAAACAGCCCAGAACAAGUGUUUAAGGUUCCAAAAUUAUUGUUAAGUGAAAUUAAGGAAGUUUUUUUCAAAUACAACCAGGAAAUAGGCUUAGAAGCGGCCAUUUUUUGAAGACCUCGUAACAGAGCACUGGUUCAACGGCCUGACCUCUUUUUAACGUUUUUAACGGUAUAAAAUAGGUUAAAGCCGGCAAGUUAAAAGCACCGAAAAUUUAACGGAUCUAAACAAUAUACCGACACCUUGUCCAUAAGUAUUAAUGAAAAAGGAAAUCCUUUAAUAUUGUAUUUAUGGGGUAGCGGAACGUUGGGCAAAUCUUUGCAUGUAAUCUUUUUAAGAUUAUAUAAAGCAGUGUAGUCUAGAUUAUAUAAUGAAGUCCAAUUAAAUAAUUGAGUCUAGAUUAUAUAAUGAAGUGUAAAUUAUAUAAGAACUCUAGAUUAUAAACAAAUGGUGGUCUUUAUAAUAUUUAGAACUCUAAGUCUUAUAAAGAACUAUAAGUUAUAUAAUUUAGAUUAUAUCUGUGUAGAUAACCCAAGUGAGAAUGCUGGCAUGAGUAACGAAAAAGGGAUUUGAUCCCUCGCCUAAAGCUUAUGGUAUGUACAUAAAGUAACGGCCUCUAAGUUUAUUGACCUGCCCUAAAGGACUAAAUGAUGAGAAAAUCUUUUUAUAUAUCCAACAACCCAGCUGAGUAGGUGGUGUUCUGGAAAAAGAUAUAUAAUUAUUAACCGUACCUAAAGACUACCACAAGUAAGCUAGUAGAGAAUACGAAGGCGUUNAGCUAACAGAUUCAU